ACCAGGUACAAAAAUACACAGCAUCAGAGGAUGGGAGAAUUUUGUAAAAAGAGAAAUAGAGAAUUAAAUAUCGUAACUCUGUGUGAAGCACUAGUAAUCCUAGGCUCAUGACUGAAUCUUGCAGGUGUGGAACAGAACUCUGAACCACUCACAACCCCAAGCUCAUCACUGAAUCUCCCAGGUGUGGAACAGAACUCAGAACCACUCACAACCCCAAGCUCAUCACUGAAUCUCGCAGGUGUGGAACAGAUCUGAGCAGGAGGUACAGUAAAGGCUUUGAGGGCAGAACUGUGAUUAAAACCUCCACUGAUCACAGCCAAGACUAAACAGUUGGGAUUGGGACACAUGCAUGGGAAUGAAGGUUUGGAGUGAGCAACAAAGGCGUCAACAACUGAAUGGACAUCCCCUUCCUCCACUGAACAUGGACUGGGAACAUGAUCAGCCUUCCAGCUUUAGAACUGCCCAAAUGCCAAGUGCAAACAUGGGGUGGAGGAGGAGGAGGAAGUCGCCUUUGCCUUAGUGCCGUGCUCAGCGAUGUAUGUCGGAGAUGACACCUGUUCAAUGCACCAGAAGCCCCCAUAGAUUCAUCAGGAUCCUACUCAUAGAACACAGAUUCCCUAAAGGGGAAAGUGUGACCACAACUCCAUUGGUGAAUAAUACACUUGAAGGAUGUGUGCAUAUGCAGUGCCCAAGGAGGCCAGAAGAGACUUCAUCUGAAGCUGAAGCCACCAAGUGCAUGCUGGGAACUGAACCCUAGUCCUCUAUAAAAGCAGUAAGUUCUCUCAACUGCAGAGCCAUCUCUCCAGCCCCCUAGAAGGAUCAACCUACUGACCCAGAGAGAAUCGAGUACAGACCUGUAUUAGCAUCCUCCAGAUUUCUCCUUCUGGGCUUCUGGUGUAUUGGACAGUGCUGCCACAAUCAGAGUGGAUCUCUCUCAUCAUCCCCAGUCACUAUCCCCUAUGUCACCUCUCUCUGGAAACUCCCCCACCGAUACACCCAGAAGUGAACAUUGACAGCCACAUUGACAGCCAAAAGCAACCAUCAAAGAAGGUGAUGAGGUAAGGAGGCGGGGCGUUCAUGGAUGCGACUAGUGCAUUUACAGAAAAGGGCUAAGAGAGGCUCAUUUUCCUUUCAGGUGAAGAACAGAGAGAGUUCCGUCUGUGUGAGCCUUUAGCAGAUGUGGCAUUUACUUGGUCACCUUGAACUUCCUAGCCUCACAAUGGUGUUCCUAUUUUCCUCUGUUAAGCUGUUAUCCCUAAGUGCUAAACCUCUCGUGCACAAUGCAAACAACAGCAUUGCACACAGGAAUCCAGAAAUGGACCCUUUCCAAGGCCCAGUCAGCUCGCUAUGCUUCAUCCAACUGUGGACCCACACCUUUGAAUCAAUAGAAGCCAGAGUUCUAACACCUGUGAUCAAUCCAUUGCGCUUGUAUUGUUCAUGGUAUUUUCACUGCAGCCUUUUGAACUGGGAAUUAUUAUCCUUGUGGUGCACAGAGGAAAAAUAAAGCACAGGACUUUGUGACGAUUUGUCCAAAGCCUCUUAGACCAGAAA